AGCGAACGCUGGCGGCAGGCCUAACACAUGCAAGUCGAACGAACUCUUCGGAGUUAGUGGCGGACGGGUUAGUAACACGUGGGAACGUGCCUUUUGGUUCGGAAUAACUCAGGGAAACUUGUGCUAAUACCGAAUGUGCCCUUCGGGGGAAAGAUUUAUCGCCAUUAGAGCGGCCCGCGUCUGAUUAGCUAGUUGGUGAGGUAACGGCUCACCAAGGCGACGAUCAGUAGCUGGUCUGAGAGGAUGACCAGCCACACUGGGACUGAGACACGGCCCAGACUCCUACGGGAAGCAGCAGUGGGGAAUCUUGCGCAAUGGGCGAAAGCCUGACGCAGCCAUGCCGCGUGAAUGAUGAAGGUCUUAGGAUUGUAAAAUUCUUUCACCGGGGACGAUAAUGACGGUACCCGGAGAAGAAGCCCCGGCUAACUUCGUG
rnacentral:rRNA from 1 species